rnacentral:misc_RNA from 1 species
GAUGAAGAACGUAGCGAAAUGCGAUAAGUAAUGUGAAUUGCAGAAUUCAGUGAAUCAUCGAAUCUUUGAACGCACCUUGCGCUCCUUGGUAUUCCGAGGAGCAUGCCUGUUUGAGUGUCAUGAAAUUCUCAACCUUUUCAGCUUUCUUUGUUGAUCAGGCUUGGAUGUGGGAGUAUGCGGGCUUCUCAGAAGUCGGCUCUCCUGAAAUGCAUUAGCGGGACCUUUGUUGCCUGGCUUUGGUGUGAUAAUUAUCUACGCCAUUGUGGUCAAGCAGCUUAAAAUGAGGUUUCAGCUUCUAACCGUCUCCCCUGAGACAACUUUUUGACAAUUUGACCUCAAAUCAGGUAGGACUACCCGCUGAACUUAAGCAUAUCAAUAAGCGAGGA